rnacentral:rRNA from 1 species
CCUACGGGAGGCAGCAGUGAGGAAUAUUGGUCAAUGGACGAGAGUCUGAACCAGCCAAGUAGCGUGAAGGAUGACUGCCCUAUGGGUUGUAAACUUCUUUUAUAAAGGAAUAAAACGAGGCACGUGUGCCGUUUUGCAUGUACUUUAUGAAUAAGGAUCGGCUAACUCCGUGCCAGCAGCCGCGGUAAUACGGAGGAUCCGAGCGUUAUCCGGAUUUAUUUGGUUUAAAGGGAGCGUAGAUGGGUUGUUAAGUCAGUUGUGAAAGUUUGCGGCUCAACCGUAAAAUUGCAAUGGAUACUGGCAGUCUUGAGUACAGUUGAGGUAGGCGGACUUCGUGGUGUAGCGGUGAAAUGCUUAGAUAUCACGAAGAACCCCGAUUGCGAAGGCAGCUUACUAAACUGUGACUGACAUUGAUGCUCGAAAGUGUGGGUAUCAAACAGGAUUAGAUACCCGAGUAGUC